rnacentral:rRNA from 1 species
GACGAACGCUGGCGGCGUGCUUAACACAUGCAAGUCGAACGGAAAGGCCCUGCUUUUGUGGGGUGCUCGAGUGGCGAACGGGUGAGUAACACGUGAGUAACCUGCCCUUGACUUUGGGAUAACUUCAGGAAACUGGGGCUAAUACCGGAUAGGAGCUCCUGCUGCAUGGUGGGGGUUGGAAAGUUUCGGCGGUUGGGGAUGGAAUCGCGGCUUAUCAGCUUGUUGGUUGGGUAGUGGCUUACCAAGGCUUUGACGGGUAGCCGGCCUGAGAGGGUGACCGGCCACAUUGGAACUGAGAUACGGCACAGACUCCUACGGGAGGCAGCAGUGGGGAGUAUUGCACAAUGGGAGGAAGCCUGAUGCAGUAACGCCGCGUGCGGGAUGACGGGCUUCGGGUUGUAAACCGCUUUCGCCUGUGACGAAGCGUGAGUGACGGUAAUGGGUAAAGAAGCACCGGCUAACUACGUG